GUCGUUGUAGUAUAGUGGUGAGUAUUUUCGCCUUUCACGCGGGUGACCCGGGUUCAAUCCCCGGCAACGGCG
rfam:Picea glauca, whole genome shotgun sequence.